GUUCCAAAGAAACACUUCAUAAUUACUAUGCUAAAAGAUACUUUUACCAAUGUAAUAUAAUUUUACUGGUCAUCUUGAAGUUAUCAGUGCACUAGAUAAACCCCGAGAGACAUAUUUUCAAAUAAUGGUUAAGUAUCAAAAUAUUAUUAACAG